rnacentral:rRNA from 1 species
GACGAACGCUGGCGGCGUGCUUAACACAUGCAAGUCGAACGGAAAGGCCCCUUUCGGUGGCUACUCGAGUGGCGAACGGGUGAGUAACACGUGAGUAACCUGCCCUUUACGUUGGGAUAACUUCAGGAAACUGGGGCUAAUACCUGAGAGGAGCUCCUGCUACCUGGUGGGGGUUGGAAAGUUUGGGCGGUUGGGGAGGGAUUGGCGGCUUAUCAGCUUGUUGGUGGGGUAGUUGCUUACCAAGGCGUUGUCGGGUAGUCGGCCUGUGAGAGUGACCCGCGGCAUUGGGACUGAGAGAAGGCCGAAGCUCCGAAGGGUGGAAGAUGGGGGGAAGCUUGAACCAGGGGUGGAGGGCGGAUGAAGCAAGGCCGCGGGUGGGAUGACGGCCUUCUGGUUGAAGAACACUUUUGUUCAUGAAGAAGCUUUGUGUGACGGUAGUGGAUAAAGAAGCACCGGCUAACUACGUG